rnacentral:rRNA from 1 species
GACGAACGCUGGCGGCGUGCUUAACACAUGCCAGUCGAACGGAAAGGCCCUGCUUUUGUGGGGUGCUCGAGUGGCGAACGGGUGAGUAACACGUGAGUAACCUGCCCUUGACUUUGGGAUAACUUCAGGAAACUGGGGCUAAUACCGGAUAGGAGCUCCUGCUGCAUGGUGGGGGUUGGAAAGUUUCGGCGGUUGGGGAUGGACUCGCGGCUUAUCAGCUUGUUGGUGGGGUAGUGGCUUACCAAGGCUUUGACGGGUAGCCGGCCUGAGGGGGUGACCGGCAACAUUGGGACGGAGAUACGGCCCAGACUCCUACGGGAGGCAGCAGUGGGGAAUAUUGCACAAUGGGCGGAAGCCUGAUGCAGCAACGCCGCGUGCGGGAUGACGGCCUUCGGGUUGUAAACCGCUUUCGCCUGUGACGAAGCGUGAGUGACGGUAAUGGGUAAAGAAGCACCGGCUAACUACGUG